GGCUCAAGACUUAUUUGAGGAAGAAAUCAUCAAGAGAUAUGCUGGACCAUAUGUCAGAGAGGUGUUUCUGGGACCACAUAAUUUCUUUCAAGACAAUGACCCAAAACACACUGCCGCCUGGGUUUGCAUUGCAAAUGGGGGCAUAAACUGGGUCAAGACGCCAGCAGAGUCUCCUGAUUUAAACCUGAUCUAACUUGUUUGGCAUCAACUGAAAACAUGAAUCCGUAACUCUGCCAAGCCGACAAGCAAAGAUGAACUAGUCAAGGCCAUCAAGAUGUUUUGGCAAGAGAAAUUGACGAUACAACAAUGCAACAAAUACAUUGAUCAUCUCAGCAAGGUUUUACCUGUGGUCGUGGAGCUGGGUGGAAGUGCGACUAAAAUGUAGUUAAAAUAAGCGUCCGCAUUUUAAUGUAUUUUUUCUCGUUAUUUUAUUAACGAAAGCAUAAAGAUGUUGAUGAAGAAAUACUGUACUGUUGUUUUGAGUUAGAAAAUGUAACACUUUAGAGUACUUAAGCAUCGAAUAUAUUGCAAGUCGAGGGAUUUUCAUAACAGUAGCCGCGCUAUAAAAAUUAUAUCAUCCUGCUAAUAGGAAACAUUUGCAUGAUGUGCUACACCUGCUACAGUACUACAGUACACUUGUGAAAAACAAGUGUUUGAAA